UGUCUUCGGGGCGGGGUGAAAUUCCCCACCGGCGGUAUAGCCCGCGAGCGCGUUUUGCGUUGAGCCUGUGAGAUUCAGGCGCCGACGGUACAGUCCGGAUGGAAGAAGAU
rnacentral:ncRNA from 1 species